ensembl:lncRNA
CGGAGAGUCUGUGCCGGGGCUGCGUGCUGCGGGGGGCCGGCAGCUGCCACGGGGCUCUUUUACCUCGUGAGGUGGCUGCUCGCAGUCGGUACCGGCCGCAAGGCGAUCCGUCCGAGCCGAGCUCUCAGAAUCCGCUGCUAUAAGUGAGGGUCUUGUUCGCAGCCCGGCACGGGAGGGAGGAAUAUUAUUGAUGGUGAGCAAAAACUGCCCAGAUGUCCGACGCCUGUUUGGCCAUUUGGAAGCUCUCCGCGUUCAUCCCCCAGACCUGCCCGCCGCUCCCGGGAGCACGGCUGGCAGUGUGACGGAGAGGAGGGAAAGCCCAUGUGUGGUCCUCGGGCUCUGGCAAGAAACAGCAGAGCAGAACACCAGG